rnacentral:rRNA from 1 species
UACGUAGGGCGCAAGCGUUGUCCGGAAUUAUUGGGCGUAAAGAGCUCGUAGGCGGCCUGUUACGUCUGCUGUGAAAUCCCGGGGCUUAACCCCGGGCGUGCAGUGGAUACGGGCAGGCUGGAGGCAGGCAGGGGAGAACGGAAUUCCUGGUGUAGCAGUGAAAUGCGUAGAUAUCAGGAGGAACACCGAUGGCGAAGGCAGGUCUCUGGGCUGACACUGACGCUCAUGCACGAAAGCGUGGGGAGCAAACAGG